GACGAACGCUGGCGGCGUGCUUAACACAUGCAAGUCGAACGGAAAGGCCCUGCUUUUGUGGGGUGCUCGAGUGGCGAACGGGUGAGUAACACGUGAGUAACCUGCCCUUGACUUUGGGAUAACUUCAGGAAACUGGGGCUAAUACCGGAUAGGAGCUCCUGCUGCAUGGUGGGGGUUGGAAAGUUUCGGCGGUUGGGGAUGGACUCGCGGCUUAUCAGCUUGUUGGUGGGGUAGUGGCUUACCAAGGCUUUGACGGGUAGCCGGCCUGGGAGGGUGACCGGCCACAUUGGGACUGAGGUACGGCCCAGACUCCUACGGGAGGCAGCAGUGGGGAAUAUUGCACAAUGGGCGGAAGCCUGAUGCAGCAACGCUGCGUGCGGGAUGACGGCCUUCGGGUUGUAAACCGCUUUCGCAUGUGACGAAGCGUGAGUGACGGUAAUGGGUAAAGAAGCACCGGCUAACUACGUG
rnacentral:rRNA from 1 species